UACAGAGGUCUCAAGCGUUGUUCGGAUUCAUUGGGCGUAAAGGGUGCGUAGGCGGCGCGGUAAGUCGGGUGUGAAAUCUCGGAGCUUAACUCCGAAACUGCAUUCGAUACUGCCGUGCUUGAGGACUGGAGAGGAGACUGGAAUUUACGGUGUAGUGGUGAAAUGCGUAGAUAUCGUAAGGAAGACCAGUGGCGAAGGCGGGUCUCUGGACAGUUCCUGACGCUGAUGCACGAAGGCCAGGGGAGCAAACGGG
rnacentral:rRNA from 1 species